CGGAAAGCUGCUCAAUCCCCAAGAGAUGUGCAGUUUGGGAGAAUAACAGGUCUCAUAUUGAAGGGGUACAUUGUUUUAUUAGCAGCAGUUGUAUGGUGAAGAUUACCAUGUUGAGUUGCCUUUUUGAAGCUCUGGCCUAGUUGGCAGAAGUAAUACUCUAAACUAGCUAGCUGCAUUGGUUAUAAAUGCAUACCCUAUCAGCCACUUAGGACCUGCCAUUCUGCCUCUUUGUGAAGACAGUAGCUUUCGUAGCAUUCAACAAGGUUAUUACAACCCAAUACUUCGUGUGGUUCUUCUGCUUGUUGCCUUUAAUACUUCCAUGGAGCAGUAUGAAACUGUAGUGGGAAGGGUUGUCAUUACAUUAUAUUGUGAGAUGUAUCAUCGUGCGUGUGCAUUUGAAUCACCUUGAAUACUUUAACAGGCAGUUCAGAUAUCGUCUAACGGUGUUCAUAAAGAACCCUAGGGCAGUAUAAUUCUCUUAAGAUCUACUGUGAAAUAUGUGGGCAUGACACUCUGAUUAUAAACAAAAACAGGCUUUGCUAGUAACGAUUGCACUUUAAUUUUGUUAUGCAUGAGGUAUCUGUUAUAGAUGAGAAUCCAAAAGAGGAGAUGCUAAAACUGUAGCCGCCAAAAAUAUGGAAAUGAUCAAUCUAGUCGAUAAGGAGUUAUUUCUGUGUAUAUCGGAUGAUAAGCAUAUUUGGCCGAUCUAAACGUCGCUGGGUAUUUCUGUGUGUUUUACCGCACGUUGGAAUUCACACGCGUGUACUUAACUGGCUAUUUUAACAGUGAGGCAUUUUUCCAUCUCUUUUGACGUUGGGGAAGUUCUCCAACAUGGCAUCCCGUAUAAGGACAUUUUUCCAAUUUUCCCAAUUUUAUUUUGUUUGGAAUUGGCAUUGCCUCCGUUUUGAUUGGUGUAUUUAAAAAAAGGAAAUAUUUACUUCUUCAUUAUAUAAUUUGGAGUACAUGUCAUCUUUUAACCGGACAUACAAUAAGUUCAAUUCAUUUUCGUCUUGUAGACCUGGAUGUAUUGAACAUCUUAUUCAGGAUGACAUGAACAGAUCUGUAACUUCCAUUACAUAAUCAGAAAAAUGUA